AAGACCGUACUCUGAACAGAAUCGUUUUAUGAGUACAACCUCUUAAAUGAGAAAUAACCAACAACCAAAUCCUGAUGAUGAAGGUUGCUGGCUCCGCCCGGAGAGGCUGUUCGAUGAACGGCAGGAGCCGGUUCCAGAAGGAUCC
rnacentral:snoRNA from 1 species